GAUUAACGCUGGCGGCGUGCAUAACACAUGCAAGUCGAACGAUGAAACUUAGUAUACUUCUUCGGAAAGACACUAAGCGGAUUAGUUGCGAACGGGUGAGUAACGCGUGAGUAACCUGCCUUACACAAGGGGAUAGCCUUUGGAAACGAAGAAUAAUACCCUAUAAAACCAUAAAAGCACAUGCUAGAAUGGUAAAAGUGAUAGCGGUGUAAGAUGGACUUGCGUCUGAUUAGCUAGUUGGUGAGAUAAAAGCUCACCAAGGCAACGAUCAGUAACCGGCUGGAGAGAGGGGAAGGCAAAAUUGGGAAUGAGAAAAGGCCCAGACUCCAACGGGAGGAAGAAGUGGGGAAUUUGGAACAAGGGGGGAAACACGGAUGCAGCGAGGCCGGGAGAUUUAGAAGGCCUUAGGGUUGUAAAAAUCUUUUGUAUAGGAAGAAAAUGACAGUACUAGACGAAUAAGGUCCGGCUAAUUACGUG
rnacentral:rRNA from 1 species